rnacentral:rRNA from 1 species
UGAGUAACACGUAAGAAACCUGCCCUUUAGUGGGGGAUAACAUUUGGAAACAGAUGCUAAUACCGCGUAACAACAAAUCACACAUGUGAUCUGUUUGAAAGGUCCUUUUGGAUCGCUAGAGGAUGGUCUUGCGGCGUAUUAGCUUGUUGGUAGGGUAGAAGCCUACCAAGGCAAUGAUGCGUAGCCGAGUUGAGAGACUGGCCGGCCACAUUGGGACUGAGACACUGCCCAAACUCCUACGGGAGGCUGCAGUAGGGAAUUUUCCGCAAUGCACGAAAGUGUGACGGAGCGACGCCGCGUGUGUGAUGAAGGCUUUCGGG